GUCGAGAAUCUUCCCCAAUGGGCGAAAGCCUGAGGGAGCGACGCCGCGUGAGGGAUGAAGGCCCUUUGGGUUGUAAACCUCUGUUAGGGGGAAAGAAAAGCAGUGGAAGCAAUAUGUCCAUUGCCUGACGUUACCCCCAGAGAAAGCUCCGGCCAACUCCGUGCCAGCAGCCGCGGUAAUACGGGGGGAGCAAGCGUUGUCCGGAAUCAUUGGGCGUAAAGGGCGUGUAGGCGGCUUGGCAAGUCGAAUGUGAAAUCCCACGGCUCAACCGUGGAACUGCGUUCGAAACUGCCUUGCUUGAGUGCGGGAGAGGUGUGCGGAAUUCCUGGUGUAGCGGUGGAAUGCGUAGAUAUCAGGAAGAACACCGGUGGCGAAGGCGGCACACUGGCCCAGCACUGACGCUGAGGCGCGAAAGCGUGGGGAGCGAACGGGAUUAGAAACCCGAGUAGCC
rnacentral:rRNA from 1 species